rnacentral:rRNA from 1 species
CCUACGGGAGGCAGCAGUGAGGAAUAUUGGUCAAUGGGCGGAAGCCUGAACCAGCCAAGUAGCGUGCAGGAUGACGGCCUUACGGGUUGUCAACUGCUUUUAUACGGGAAUAACGCGCCUUACGUGUAGGGCUUUGCAUGUACCGUAUGAAUAAGGACCGGCAAAUUCCGUGCCAGCAGCCGCGGUAAUACGGAAGGUCCGGGCGUUAUGCGGAUUUAUUGGGUUUAAAGGGAGCGUAGGCGGCAUGGCAAGCGAGCUGUGAAAUGUCCGGGCGCAACCCGGGCCUUGCAGCGCGAACUGGCGUGCUUGAGUCUGCGGAAGGCAGGCGGAAUUCGUGGUGUAGCGGUGAAAUGCUUAGAUAUGACGAAGAACCCCGAUUGCGAAGGCAGCUUGCUGCAGCGGAACUGACGCUGAUGCUCGAAAGCGCGGGUAUCGAACAGGAUUAGAUACCCCUGUAGUC